UCUCAGUUCGGAUUGCAGGCUGCAACUCGCCUGCAUGAAGCUGGAAUUGCUAGUAAUCGCGGAUCAGCACGCCGCGGUGAAUACGUUCCCGGGCCUUGUACACACCGCCCGUCACACCAUGAGAGUCGGGAACACCCGAAGUCCGUAGUCUAACCGCAAGGGGGCGCGGCCGAAGGUGGGUCCGGUAAUUGGGGUGAAGUCGUAACAAGGUAAC
rnacentral:rRNA from 1 species